ACCUGUUUGAUCCCCCCAGUACCAUACCCUUGUCUCAAAAAUUAACCCAUGCAUGUCUAAUUAUAAACAAAUCUAUACUGUGAAACUGCAAAUGGCUCAUUAUAUCAUUUAUAUUUUAUUUGAUGGUUCUUGCUACUUGAAUAACCGUAUUAAUUCUAAAGCUAAUACAUGCGUCAAACCUCAACUUUCUUGAAAAAGGUGUAUUUAUUAAAUGGAAACCAAUGCGGGGCACCCCGAAUUCAGGUGAUUCAUAAUAACUUUCGAAUCGAUCUUCGAAUCAAUGCAUCAUUCAAUUUUCUGCCCUAUCACCUUUGGAUGGUAGGGUAUUGCCCUACCAUGGCUUUAACGGGUAACGAAAAAUUAGGGUUCAAUUCCGGAAAGGGACCCUGAAAAACGGCUACCACAUCCAAGGAAGGCACCAGGCGCGUAAAUUACCCAAUCCUGACACAGGGAGGUAGUGACAAUAAAUAACAAUGCCGGGCUUAUUUAAUUCUGGCAAUUGAAAUGAAAACAAUUUAAAUCCCUUAUCAAGGAUCAAUUG
rnacentral:rRNA from 1 species